rnacentral:rRNA from 1 species
UACGUAGGGUGCGAGCGUUUAAUCGGAAUUACUGGGCGUAAAGCGUGCGCAGGCGGUUCGUCGUGUCCGAUGUGAAAGCCCCGGGCUCAACCUGGGAAUGGCAUUGGAAACUGGCGGACUCGAGUGUGGCAGAGGGGGUGGAAUUCCGCGUGUAGCAGUGAAAUGCGUAGAGAUGCGGAGGAACACCGAUGGCGAAGGCAGCCCCCUGGGCUAACACUGACGCUCAGGCACGAAAGCGUGGGGAGCAAACAGG